rnacentral:tRNA from 1 species
UGCUCUGGUCAGAGCCCCUGGAGCCUGUCCAAGCGUCAUCGCUUCCCAAGCCGAGAGCGCGAGUUCGAUUCUCGUCACCCGCUCCA